rnacentral:piRNA from 1 species
GUAAGUGCCUGCAUGUAUAUG